CACCCGUCGGCCACCGUAUAACAAUGGUUACAGUCGAGCCUCGAGACUAGAGCCUGCUACCGUCCGGGCUAAUGGACAUACACUUUUUUACGAGAAUUGGCUCACAGACACAUUCAGUGGUCCCUGCAAAUGACCAACAGAUGGUGCUGAUUAAAGUAGAGCCUUCAGAAGAAUGGAUACCUGGUGUGGACCAGCCAGAUC